GACCAAGGAGUAUAACACGCCCGCGAGUCGUAGGGACUUUGAAGCCCGAAGGCGCAAUGAAAGUGAAGGCCAGAUCCGUCUGGCCGAGGUGGGAUCCCGUCGCUCGGCGGCGGGCGCACCACUGUCCCCGUCUCGAUCGACUCUGUCGACGAGGCGGAGGAGGAGACGUGUGCGUUAGGAUAYGCCUGAGCAGGACGAAGCCAGAGGAAACUCUGGUGGAAGUCCGCAGCGAUUCUGACGUGCAAAUCGAUCGUCAAACUUGGGUAUAGGGGCGAAAUACUAAUC
rnacentral:rRNA from 1 species